rnacentral:rRNA from 1 species
GCAGUCGCCGCGGGAAUACAGAGGGUGCGAGCGUUAAUCGGAUUUACUGGGCGUAAAGCGUGCGUAGGCGGCUUCUUAAGUCGGAUGUGAAAUCCCUGAGCUUAACUUAGGAAUUGCAUUCGAUACUGGGAAGCUAGAGUAUGGGAGAGGAUGGUAGAAUUCCAGGUGUAGCGGUGAAAUGCGUAGAGAUCUGGAGGAAUACCGAUGGCGAAGGCAGCCAUCUGGCCUAAUACUGACGCUGAGGUACGAAAGCAUGGGGAGCAAACAGGAUUAGAUACCCCUGUAGUCCCUGUCUCUUAUAA